CGAAGGGGGCUAGCGUUGCUCGGAAUCACUGGGCGUAAAGCGCACGUAGGCGGCUUUUUAAGUCAGGGGUGAAAUCCUGGAGCUCAACUCCAGAACUGCCUUUGAUACUGAGAAGCUUGAGUUCGGGAGAGGUGAGUGGAACUGCGAGUGUAGAGGUGAAAUUCGUAGAUAUUCGGAAGAACACCAGUGGCGAAGGCGGCUCACUGGUCCGGUACUGACGCUGAUGUGCGAAAGCGUGGGGAGCAAACAGG
rnacentral:rRNA from 1 species